rnacentral:rRNA from 1 species
GACGAACGCUGGCGGCGUGCUUAACACAUGCAAGUCGAACGGUGAAGCGCCUUCCUUUUUGGUGGGUGUGGAUGAGUGGCGAACGGGUGAGUAACACGUGAGUAACCUGCCCCCUUCUUCUGGAUAACCGCAUGAAAGUGUGGCUAAUACGGGAUAUUCUGGGUCUGUCGCAUGAUGGGUCUGGGAAAGAUAUUGUUUCGGUGGGGGAUGGGCUCGCGGCCUAUCAGCUUGUUGGUGGGGGGAUGGCCUACCAAGGCGGUGACGGGUAGCCGGCCUGAGAGGGUGGACGGUCACACUGGGACUGAGACACGGCCCAGACUCCUACGGGAGGCAGCAGUGGGGAAUAUUGCACAAUGGGCGCAAGCCUGAUGCAGCGACGCCGCGUGAGGGAUGGAGGCCUUCGGGUUGUGAACCUCUUUCGCCAGUGAAGCAGGCCUGCCUCGUUUGUGGGUGGGUUGACGGUAGCUGGAUAAGAAGCGCCGGCUAACUACGUG